UUUUUUUUUUUUUUUUUACUUGUAAUGUCCUUCGCUGGUUUUGGUAUCAAGAUAAUGCUGGUCUCACAGAAUACAUUGAGAAGUGUUUCCUCUUUGUAUUAGUUAUCUAUUGCUACAGAACAUAUUACAUAAACUUAGCAGUUAGGACAGGCAUGGCUUAGCUGGGCCCUCUGUUUAAUUUAGCAUCAAUUAAAGUGUCAGCCAGUCUUCUGUUCCUUUCUUUUACCUCCUUCUCUUCCUCUUUCUUUUAUAAAUCUUAAAUAACUUACAAACUGUUCAUAGAGUGCUAUGCAAAAAUGGACUGCAGGCGGGGUUUGACCUGUGGGCUAGAGUUUCUGACCACUAGUCUAGAGUUUUUUUUUUUCUCUCAGCAAUAAAGCAAUACUCUGCUCAGGACUCUACUCAAUAUCCUAUGUUUUAAGAGUUCUUCCCAUUUUGGCUGAGGUAACAAGCUAUUCCCAGCCAGGUAUGAGUGCCAAGGAUUGUCUGAUCUAUAUUUUCUGGGUCUUUUCCUAGCCUCAUACACUUUCUUCACAUUCAUUUGGUGAUCAACACACAGCUGAUCAACACUGCAUAUCUCUCCCUCUCUCCCUCUCUCUCUGUCUCUCUCUCUCUUUUUCUCACACUCUGCUGCUCUCUUCUCUCCAGAACAUUGCUUAAAGUCUAGCCCCUUUGGCCACUCCAAACUCUGCCUCCUUACCUUAUAGAGACCCCUGGAUAUUUGGGGAUUCUCCCUCCAUGCAUUGCAGCACUGUUCUUGCAGUAAACUAAGACAGUUGUAGCUAAGACAUUUUCUCUCAGGAAUCAUUCUCCUGAGUUAUCUGCCUUCCAAUAUAUAAAUCCUGUUUUUGUUUUUGUUUUUUUCUUUUAAUAUAUUUUGUCUAGGGUCUUUUAGUUGUGUAAAGCAGGAAGAUUAAAUCUUGUUCCCUCUCUCAAAGAUUCUUAAUAGUCUUCAAAAUAUUUAGCAGAGUUGCCUUAUUAAGCAAGUCAAAAUUUGUAGGAUCAAAAAGAAAUAGAAAACCUUUCCUAGUGGCUCUUUUUAUUAAAACAUUACUCUAGAAAACCAGAUUCUUAAAAAUUAUUCUUGAGACUAUACAUUUGCAAAAUAAGCCUCAUCUAGUUUCUCUUGACAUAUUUUUUUAGGUCAUACCUCAGGAACACUUCUAAAUAUAUUUGCUCCUUAAAAUAAAACACACACACAAAUCUUGGCAACAAGCAGUCCGGAAGUAGAGGACUUUUAAAAAGUAAAUUGUCCUUAAAAUUUCACAUACUUUGAAACUUUACUUAAUUACAGAAUUUAUUGAUAUGACACUCAUAUUAUACCAGCCUGCUCCAAACUUGAUUCAAAGCUAAUUGUGGUGUCUACAAAAUAUUAUUAUGAAAAAUGGCACAUAACUGUGAAUGUGUAGAAGCCAAUUAUCAAAUAGUAAUAACUAUACUCAUUUUCCUAAGAAAAAUAUUAGUUUUAAUAAUCAGCUUUCCCAUAAAUUUAAAUGAGAAGUGGACAUAACAAAGGUCUUUGAGUAUAUUAACAUUUACAAGAAGCUUAAAUGUCCAGUGGUUAAUGUUGAACACAUUUCAUAAAUAAUAAGAUGCAAGAAGCUUUUAGUUACCAAUUAAAAUUAUUUACAUUAUUUUAGACAAUAAAUUAAGUAGUUAAUUAUUCUGUGUUUAAUUCUGUGCUUUUCCAAAUAUAAAUCCUUACUUUGCUAAGCUACAGAUGAUCUUGAUUUAAAAUACGCUAUCUUUUUAUAUGACCAAUAAGCAAAUAAAUAUUAAUCUGCACCCCACCUUCCAUGGAACAGGCAUUCAGAACAGUAUUUCCAAUAGUACUAAAAAAAUUACAGAGAUUCUUCCAUGAUCCCUAAAAACUACACUACAGUCUGAAUCAGGAUGAAUGUAUUUCAAGACUUCAGGUUAAUGCUGCAGGUAUAGUAAUAGAAGAGAAAGAAAUUAUAACACUGAAAAUUGGCACUCAUUUGCUCUAAAACCUUAAUCACUUAGAAAAGAAGUCUAGCUAUUCCUGGUACUGGGAGAAAAGUCUGUAAGAAAGUGGGCUAAUAUUUAUCUUUGAAGGAUAAAGUUGAAAUGAGCUCAGCAAGUCAUUUUUGCAGUAUGGAAGACAUGGUAUCUGUGACAUAAGGAAAUAUUUAAUUUUAUUCUAAAUUGCCAUAAUUUCAUAAUAGUUAAGCCUUAAAUACUUGAACAUGACAAUAACUGAAAAUUUUAGGUUCAGUCAAAUGCGUUAUGAUUUCUGCCUUUCAGGGAAAAAGUUAUUUAAGCUUCUAUCCUCUAAAAAAAAGUCUUACGUCUUUUACUAUAAUUGGGUCAUUUUAAGAGCACUAUCACUUGGCUAAUUCCAUCACUUGCUGAGUUUAAAAGUGCUUCCAAUAACAUACUGUUAAUUUAAUACAAAACUCAUUUUUUAACCUGUAAAUACUCCAGACACACUUUCCAUCUGGAAAUGAUGAUCAGAUUUUUUUUUGGCGGGGGGGGAAAUCACAGGAGGUUGUUGAUAAAAGUAUUCUGACUCAUACGUGAGUCCAUGGCUUCAAUGGGAAAUAAGCUGAAUUUUCUAGGGAAACAUAUGCUCAAGCACCUCAUUCAUAGCAGGCACCCUGGGGCCUAAAUAUGUUUUCUGCUUGAUUGUAAGCAAAAGUAACAUUAAAUAUUAUUGACGGUAAUGGAGUGAUCAAAAGUAACUUUUACCACAGUGUUUUGCAUUUUUCUUAUAUCAUUCCCUCCCUAAUAAUUAUUGUAGGACUGAAUAAAAUUAAGCCUUUCAUUUUUUAAAAAAUUCACUUGAUGUGUGGGACACCUGUGCAUUGCUUCAAAUCCUCUGGAGCACAUUUUUUUCCUCAGCCAUUCCUAUGGUGAUCACUUCUGUAUCUUUUUGACUCCUUUUACUUAGAUUCAACCUAACAGCACCUGAUCAGCUUCCUCUUGCUCCUUUCUCCAGGAUUCCACUGAGACCCUGGUGUGGGGCAUCCUUUAGACACCUACUUGCCCCAUGGAAGUCCAUGGAGCAACCAUUGACAAAUAAAAGAGAAGGACCAACAUAUAAAUGCUUCUUUUCUCUAAGCAUGGCUGAUUCCGAUAUGCACAGCAUAAGGCUUCAAACUACUAUUUAAACAGUUGGACUCUGAACUGUUGCAGUAUCUGCAUUCCUGGAUUAAGGCAAGAUGUGAGGGAACUGAAUGCAAAUUGGGACUGAGAACAUCCAAUAGAUGUCAUGAGUUCCACAGUUACAUAGAACUGGACCAUAAAAGUACUUCAUCUUUACCUUUAUAAUUUUCUUCCUCCAGCUCCCAAACAAAUUCUUUUGCUUCCUAAAGGAACCAGUUUGUUUUUUUCUUUUUCUCAGGAUUGUCCACACAGAUUUUUGUUCUCCCAGGCUCUAAUACCUCCUGACAAGAAAAAUAUUUUUAAAAAGAGAAGAAUCUAGAGAACAGCUAGUGGAAAUUUCCCUUGGUGGUAACCAGAGGACAACUCCAAACAGAACAAAUCUGUAGUUAUUCCCCAUUUUUCCUAAAGAAACAAUGCUGCUCUUACCAGUAUUUCUUUCUCAGGAACUAGGUUUAGGUUAUGCUAUAUCUGUCAGGCUUCUGUUCAGUUGUCUUUAUUCCUACAGAACGACAAUAAGGACUAAGGACAAGAAGCUAUAAUUGAAGGUUAGUGAGGCACAACUGGAAAUAGUCACAAUGCACUGCACUCAUAUCCUCCUGAUACAAACACAUCACAGAAAUUUGUCAAAAUUCCCUGUUUAUGAAUCACUGCAGUACUUCUGGGCUGAAGCAAAGCUUUUAAGGUGCUUGUUAUUUUGUUAUUAUUUAUUCUCUUCUUAGAAUAUGAGCCCUGGGAGUUCCCGUCGUGGCGCAGUGGUUAACGAAUCCGACUAGGAACCAUGAGGUUGCGGGUUCGGUCCCUGCCCUUGCUCAGUGGGUUAACGAUCCGGUGUUGCCGUGAGCUGCGGUGUAGGUUGCAGACGCAGCUCGGAUCCCGAGUUGCUGUGGCUCUGGCGUAGGCCGGUGGCUACAGCUCUGAUUGGACCCCUAGCCUGGGAACCUCCAUAUGCCGCGGCAGCGGCCCAAGAAAUAGCAAAAAAAGACAGAAAAAAAAAAAAAAAAAGAAUAUGAGCCCUGUUGUUUACCUCAUUGAUACAGCACAAGUACCUAAAAGGAUGCCUCAAUAGUAGUGGACUCUAAAUAAAUAUGGGUUUAAAAACAUAUAAAUGAGUAAAGUUGGACUUGUGAAAAACAAAUAUGACUAGUAUCCAUGAGGAUGUGGGUUCGAUCCCUGGUCUCGUUCAGUGGGUUGGGGAUCUGGCAUUGCUGUGAGCUGUGGUAUAGGUCACAGAUGCGGCUCGGAUCCCAUGUUGCCUUGGCUGUGGCACAGGCCGGCAGCUGUAGCUCUGAUUUGACUCCUAGCCUAGGAACUUCCAUAUGCCACAGGU
rnacentral:lncRNA from 1 species